rnacentral:rRNA from 1 species
AACGAACGCUGGCGGCAUGCCUAACACAUGCAAGUCGAACGAUGCUUUCGGGCAUAGUGGCGCACGGGUGCGUAACGCGUGGGAAUCUGCCCUGGGGUUCGGGAUAACAGCGGGAAACUGCUGCUAAUACCGGAUGAUAUCGCGAGAUCAAAGAUUUAUCGCCCUGGGACGAGCCCGCGUCGGAUUAGGUAGUUGGUGGGGUAAGAGCCUACCAAGCCGACGAUCCGUAGCUGGUCUGAGAGGAUGAUCAGCCACACUGGGACUGAGACACGGCCCAGACUCCUACGGGAGGCAGCAGUGGGGAAUAUUGGACAAUGGGCGCAAGCCUGAUCCAGCAAUGCCGCGUGAGUGAUGAAGGCCUUAGGGUUGUAAAGCUCUUUUACCCGGGAUGAUAAUGACAGUACCGGGAGAAUAAGCCCCGGCUAACUCCGUG